AACCCCUGGUUAGACCAGGGGUUCCGUAAAGCUUUAGCGAUGAGUCUUUAAAGGAAAAGAAAAACCUCCCUAGAAAAUAAUUGUUGCGGUCCGUCAACUGCAAAAUUAUGAAUAGGGAUGUUU
rnacentral:sRNA from 1 species